rnacentral:miRNA from 12 species
GGCUUCUGGAGGCAGUGGGAUCACAACAGCUUGACUUCCUUCUGUGGGCAAACAAGAAAGAGCUCUUCCUGCCGUGACCUCAUGUUCCAAUCCUGCC